rnacentral:sRNA from 1 species
UAGGAAGUAAAACAGCUGCUGGGGCAAC